rnacentral:tRNA from 1 species
GCAUUGGUGAUUCAGUGAUAAAAUUCUCGCCUUCCACGUGGGAGACCCAGGUUCGAUUUCCAGCCGGUGCA